rnacentral:tRNA from 1 species
GCCGGGGUAGCUCAGCCUGGUAGAGCGCCGGGCUGUUAACCCGGUGGUCGUGGGUUCAAAUCCCACCCCCGGCGCCA